rnacentral:tRNA from 1 species
AAAGAAAAAAUCGUAAACUUCAAAUUUACUAAAAUAAAAAUUUCUUUC